CACUAUCGUUAACUGAAUACAUAGGUUAACGAGGCGAACCGGGGGAACUGAAACAUCUAAGUACCCCGAGGAAAAGAAAUCAACCGAGAUUCCCCCAGUAGCGGCGAGCGAACGGGGAGCAGCCCAGAGUCUGAAUCAGCUUGUGUGUUAGUGGAAGCGUCUGGAAAGUCGCACGGUACAGGGUGACAGUCCCGUACACGAAAAUGCACAGGUUGUGAACUCGAAGAGUAGGGCGGGACACGUGGUAUCCUGUCUGAAUAUGGGGGGACCAUCCUCCAAGGCUAAAUACUCCUGACUGACCGAUAGUGAACCAGUACCGUGAGGGAAAGGCGAAAAGAACCCCGGCGAGGGGAGUGAAAAAGAACCUGAAACCGUGUACGUACAAGCAGUGGGAGCACCUUCGGGUGUGACUGCGUACCUUUUGUAUAAUGGGUCAGCGACUUAUAUUCUGUAGCAAGGUUAACCGUAUAGGGGAGCCGAAGGGAAACCGAGUCUUAACUGGGCGUUAAGUUGCAGGGUAUAGACCCGAAACCCGGUGAUCUAGCCAUGGGCAGGUUGAAGGUUGGGUAACACUAACUGGAGGACCGAACCGACUAAUGUUGAAAAAUUAGCGGAUGACUUGUGGCUGGGGGUGAAAGGCCAAUCAAACCGGGAGAUAGCUGGUUCUCCCCGAAAGCUAUUUAGGUAGCGCCUCGUGAACUCAUCUUCGGGGGUAGAGCACUGUUUCGGCUAGGGGGCCAUCCCGGCUUACCAACCCGAUGCAAACUACGAAUACCGAAGAAUGUUAUCACGGGAGACACACGGCGGGUGCUAACGUCCGUCGUGAAGAGGGAAACAACCCAGACCGCCAGCUAAGGUCCCAAAGUCAUGGUUAAGUGGGAAACGAUGUGGGAAGGCACAGACAGCCAGGAUGUUGGCUUAGAAGCAGCCAUCAUUUAAAGAAAGCGUAAUAGCUCACUGGUCGAGUCGGCCUGCGCGGAAGAUGUAACGGGGCUAAACCAUGCACCGAAGCUGCGGCAGCGACGCUUAUGCGUUGUUGGGUAGGGGAGCGUUCUGUAAGCCGUUGAAGGUGUGCUGUGAGGCAUGCUGGAGGUAUCAGAAGUGCGAAUGCUGACAUAAGUAACGAUAAAGCGGGUGAAAAGCCCGCUCGCCGGAAGACCAAGGGUUCCUGUCCAACGUUAAUCGGGGCAGGGUGAGUCGACCCCUAAGGCGAGGCCGAAAGGCGUAGUCGAUGGGAAACAGGUUAAUAUUCCUGUACUUGGUGUUACUGCGAAGGGGGGACGGAGAAGGCUAUGUUAGCCGGGCGACGGUUGUCCCGGUUUAAGCAUGUAGGCGGAGGUUCCAGGUAAAUCCGGUACCUUAUUAACGCUGAGGUGUGAUGACGAGGCACUACGGUGCUGAAGUAACAAAUGCCCUGCUUCCAGGAAAAGCCUCUAAGCAUCAGGUAACAUCAAAUCGUACCCCAAACCGACACAGGUGGUCAGGUAGAGAAUACCAAGGCGCUUGAGAGAACUCGGGUGAAGGAACUAGGCAAAAUGGUGCCGUAACUUCGGGAGAAGGCACGCUGAUAUGUAGGUGAAGCCCCUGCGGGUGGAGCUGAAAUCAGUCGAAGAUACCAGCUGGCUGCAACUGUUUAUUAAAAACACAGCACUGUGCAAACACGAAAGUGGACGUAUACGGUGUGACGCCUGCCCGGUGCCGGAAGGUUAAUUGAUGGGGUUAGCGGCAACGCGAAGCUCUUGAUCGAAGCCCCGGUAAACGGCGGCCGUAACUAUAACGGUCCUAAGGUAGCGAAAUUCCUUGUCGGGUAAGUUCCGACCUGCACGAAUGGCGUAAUGAUGGCCAGGCUGUCUCCACCCGAGACUCAGUGAAAUUGAACUCGCUGUGAAGAUGCAGUGUACCCGCGGCAAGACGGAAAGACCCCGUGAACCUUUACUAUAGCUUGACACUGAACACUGGUCCUUGAUGUGUAGGAUAGGUGGGAGGCUUUGAAGUGUGGACGCCAGUCUGCAUGGAGCCGUCCUUGAAAUACCACCCUUUAAUGGCUGGUGUUCUAACGUAGACCCGUGAUCCGGGUUGCGGACAGUGUCUGGUGGGUAGUUUGACUGGGGCGGUCUCCUCCCAAAGAGUAACGGAGGAGCACGAAGGUUAGCUAAUCCUGGUCGGACAUCAGGAGGUUAGUGCAAUGGCAUAAGCUAGCUUGACUGCGAGAGUGACGGCUCGAGCAGGUGCGAAAGCAGGUCAUAGUGAUCCGGUGGUUCUGAAUGGAAGGGCCAUCGCUCAACGGAUAAAAGGUACUCCGGGGAUAACAGGCUGAUACCGCCCAAGAGUUCAUAUCGACGGCGGUGUUUGGCACCUCGAUGUCGGCUCAUCACAUCCUGGGGCUGAAGUAGGUCCCAAGGGUAUGGCUGUUCGCCAUUUAAAGUGGUACGCGAGCUGGGUUUAGAACGUCGUGAGACAGUUCGGUCCCUAUCUGCCGUGGGCGCUGGAGAAUUGAGGGGGGCUGCUCCUAGUACGAGAGGACCGGAGUGGACGCAUCACUGGUGUUCGGGUUGUCAUGCCAAUGGCACUGCCCGGUAGCUAAAUGCGGAAAAGAUAAGUGCUGAAAGCAUCUAAGCACGAAACUUGCCCCGAGAUGAGUUCUCCCUGAGACUUUAAGUCUCCUGAAGGAACGUUGAAGACGACGACGUUGAUAGGUCGGGUGUGUAAGCGCAGCGAUGCGUUGAGCUAACCGAUACUAAUGAACCGUGAGGCUUAACCUU
rnacentral:rRNA from 1 species